rnacentral:rRNA from 1 species
GUGGGGGAUAUUGCACAAUGGGGGGAACCCUGAUGCAGCGACGCCGCGUGGGCGAGGAAGUACCUCGGUAUGUAAAGCCCUAUCAGCAGGGAAGAAGAUGACGGUACCUGACCAAGAAGCCCCGGCUAACUACGUGCCAGCAGCCGCGGUAAUACGUAGGGGGCAAGCGUUAUCCGGAUUCACUGGGCGUAAAGGGAGCGCAGGCGGCACGGCAAGUCUGGUGUGAAAGCCCGCGGCUCAACCGCGGGUCUGCAUUGGAAACUGCCGGGCUCGAGUGUCGGAGGGGUAAGUGGAAUUCCUAGUGUAGCGGUGAAAUGCGUAGAUAUUAGGAGGAACACCAGUGGCGAAGGCGGCUUACUGGACGACAACUGACGCUGAGGCUCGAAAGCGUGGGGAGCAAACAGGA